rnacentral:rRNA from 1 species
CUCAACUUGAGAGUUUGAUCCUGGCUCAGAACGAACGCUGGCGGCAGGCUUAACACAUGCAAGUCGAGCGCCCCGCAAGGGGAGCGGCAGACGGGUGAGUAACACGUGGGAAUCUACCCAUCC